CUACGGGUUGCUCCAGUGGGGAAUAUUGCACAAUGGGGGAAACCCUGAUGCAGCAACGCCGCGUGGAGGAUGACGCAUUUCGGUGUGUAAACUCCUUUUAUAUAGGAAGAUAAUGACGGUACUAUAUGAAUAAGCACCGGCUAACUCCGUGCCAGCAGCCGCGGUAAUGCGGAGGGUGCAAGCGUUACUCGGAAUCACUGGGCGUAAAGCGCGCGCAGGCGGCCUUUUAAGUUGGAUGUGAAAGCCUAUGGCUUAACCAUAGAACUGCAUCCAAAACUAUCAGGCUAGAGUCUGGGAGGGGAAGAUGGAAUUAGUUGUGUAGGGGUAAAAUCCGUAGAGAUAACUAGGAAUACCAAAAGCGAAGGCGAUCUUCUGGAACAGUACUGACGCUGAGGCGCGAAAGCGUGGGGAGCAAACAGGAUUAGAUACCCGGGUAGUC
rnacentral:rRNA from 1 species